rnacentral:rRNA from 1 species
GAUGAACGCUAGCGGGAGGCCUAACACAUGCAAGCCGAGCGGUAUUUGUCUUUCGGGACAGAGAGAGCGGCGUACGGGUGCGGAACACGUGUGCAACCUGCCUUUAUCAGGGGGACAGCCUUUCGAAAGGAAGAUUAAUACCCCAUAAUAUAUUGAAUGGCAUCAUUUGAUAUUGAAAACUCCGGUGGAUAGAGAUGGGCACGCGCAAGAUUAGAUAGUUGGUAGGGUAACGGCCUACCAAGUCAGUGAUCUUUAGGGGGCCUGAGAGGGUGAUCCCCCGCACUGGUACUGAGAAACGGACCAGACUCCUACGGGAGGCAGCAGUGAGGAAUAUUGGACAAUGGGUGAGAGCCUGAUCCAGCCAUCCCGCGUGAAGGACGACGGCCCUAUGGGUUGUAAACUUCUUUUGUAUAGGGAUAAACCUAGAUACGUGUAUCUAGCUGAAGGUACUAUACGAAUAAGCACCGGCUAACUCCGUGCCAGCAGCCGCAGUAA